rnacentral:rRNA from 1 species
GAUGAACGCUGGCGGCGUGCCUAAUACAUGCAAGUCGAGCGAACGGACGAGAAGCUUGCUUCUCUGAUGUUAGCGGCGGACGGGUGAGUAACACGUGGAUAACCUACCUAUAAGACUGGGAUAACUUCGGGACACCGGAGCUAAUACCGGAUAAUCUUUUGAACCGCAUGGUUCAAAAGUGAAAGACGGUCUUGCUGUCACUUCUAGCUGGAUCCGCGCUGCAUUAGCUAGUUGGUAAGGUCACGGCUUACCAAGGCAACGAUGCAUAGCCGACCUGAGAGGGUGAUCGGCCACACGGGAACGGAGACAGGGUCCAGACUCCUACGGGAGGCAGCAGUAGGGAAUCUUCCGCAAUGGGCGAAAGCCUGACGGAGCAACGCCGCGUGAGUGAUGAAGGUCUUCGGAUCGUAAAACUCUGUUAUUAGGGAAGAACAGAUGUGUAAGGAACUGUGCACAUCUUGACGGUACCUAAUCAGAAAGCCACGGCUAACUACGUG